rnacentral:rRNA from 1 species
UACGUAGGGUGCGAGCGUUAAUCGGAAUUACUGGGCGUAAAGCGUGCGCAGGCGGUUUUGUAAGCCAGAUGUGAAAUCCCCGGGCUUAACCUGGGAAUGGCAUUUGGGACUGCAAGGCUGGAGUGUGGCAGAGGAGACUGGAAUUCCUGGUGUAGCAGUGAAAUGCGUAGAUAUCAGGAGGAAUACCGAUGGCGAAGGCAGGUCUCUGGGCUGACACUGACGCUCAUGCACGAAAGCGUGGGGAGCGAAACAACGGU